GACGAACGCUGGCGGCGUGCUUAACACAUGCAAGUCGAACGAUGAAGAAGAGAAACGCGAACUUCGGUUCAAAUUUCACUUCGGAUUAGUGGCAGACGGGUGAGUAACGCGUGAGCAACCUACCUCUUACAAAGGGAUAGCCUCGGGAAACCGUGAUUAAUACCAUAUGACACAUUCAUAAGGCAUCUUAAGAAUGUUAAAGCUACGGCGGUAAGAGAUGGGCUCGCGUCCCAUUAGCUAGUUGGUGAGGUAACGGCCCACCAAGGCGACGAUGGGUAACCGGAAUGAGAGGCUGAACGGUCACACUGGAACUGAGACACGGUACAAACUCCUCCGGGAGGCAGCAGUGGGGAAUAUUGCAACAUGGAGGGAACUAUGAUGCAGCGACGACGCGUGAGCGAUGAAGGAAUUCGUUUAGUAAAGCUCUGUUAUAUGGGAAGAAAAGGACUGUACCAUAGGAGAAAGCCACGGCUAAAUACGUG
rnacentral:rRNA from 1 species